rnacentral:lncRNA from 1 species
AUGUCUUCAUCCCCCACUUCCUACUCCCUAUCCCCAUCCAACCUUCUGGUCACCUACGCUGCUUACCUCUGGAGAGGCCGUAGAGCAGUGGUUAAAAGCAUGACCUCUGGAUCUAGAGUGGCCUUGAAUCAUAUCUGUUUUUCAGGUUACCAGGUGCAAACCCCAGAGCUGGAAGCACAAUUUGAGAAUGCAGCAGCCAGCACAGUGCUCACCUCACAAUGGAUUCUUAGUAAAGAUUUAGAGACUGCUGAAUGAAUAUCCUGUGAUCCCUUACCUUACAAGCCAAGAGACACAAUACCCAGGCACACAAGACUCCUAAUGAACAUGGAAAGAGAACACACAGGUAAGUGUGCAAUGUGGUUCAGUAAGUGUUCAAAGACAAGAAAUAAAUAAGAGUUCAUAGAGUUUUAGAAGGCUUCG